GACGUAGGAUGCAAGCGUUGUCCGGAUUUAUUGGGCGUAAAGAGUUCGUAGGCGGUUUGUUAAGUCUGAUGUUAAAGACCGGGGCUCAACCUCGGAAAUGCAUUGGAUACUGGCAGACUGGAGUGCAGUAGAGGCUAGUGGAAUUCCCAGUGUAGCGGUGAAAUGCGUAGAUAUUGGGAAGAACACCGGUGGCGUAGGCGACUAGCUGGGCUGUAACUGACGCUGAGGAACGAAAGCCAGGGGAGCGAAU
rnacentral:rRNA from 2 species